rnacentral:rRNA from 1 species
AUUGAACGCUGGCGGCAGGCCUAACACAUGCAAGUCGAACGAGUGGCGGACGGGUGAGUAAUGUCUGGGAAACUGCCUGAUGGAGGGGGAUAACUACUGGAAACGGUAGCUAAUACCGCAUACCAUCGGAUGUGCCCAGAUGGGAUUAGCUAGUAGGUGGGGUAAAGGCUCACCUAGGCGACGAUCCCUAGCCGGUCUGAUAGGAAGACCCGCCACACGGGAACUGAGACACGGUCCAGACUUCUACGGGAGGCAGGAGUGGGGAAUAUUUGGCAAUGGGCGAAAGCCUGAUCCAGCCAGGCCGCGGGUGUGAAGAAGGUCUUCGGAAUUUAAAACACGUUUAGUUGGGAGGCGUUACCAACAGAAUAAGCACCGGCUAACUUCGUGCCAGCAGCCGCGGUAAUUC